AGAGAUGACAUAAGUCGUGUCGUCAGCAAAGAGAAUGGGUUUCAGGUGUUGGGAUACGUUUGGAAGGUCAUUGAUGUAUAUGAAGAAGAGCAGGGGACCAAGGACACUUCCCUGCGGAACUCCAGUAUCAAGUGGCCGUGUUGCUGAUGCUGUGUCUUUAAUGGUGACAUACUGAUACCUAUUAGUAAUGUAAGAUUUGAAAUAAGCAAGCGCAUGGCCUCUUAUACCGUAAUGAUCAAGUUUGUGGAGUAGGAUGUCGUGGUCUACUGUGUCAAAAGCUUUUCUUAGGUCAAUAAAAAUUCCUAGUGGAUAUUCCUUAUUUUCCAAUGCUGUGUAAAGCAGAUCUAGCAUUUUUAUGAUUGCAUCAUUAGUGCUUUUAUUUUUCCUGAAUCCAAAUUGACAGGGGUUGAGUAUGUUUUGAGCCGUUAUAAAUGAAUACAGUCUCCUGUGCACGAGUUUCUCAAAGAUUUUGGAUAGCAAUGGGUUUAUACUACACCACAAGGAGCAACAGGCGUGCAGUGCAGGGCGCAGAGUGGAGUAAGAGAAACUAGAGCCGCCGAUUACCACCACCACCAAAACCCAUACCUGUCCAAGUAGAAUUCAUACGAACCAGGCGCCGAGUGAGAUCGUCCAGCUAAGAGCUGUUAUCCUACCUCGGUUUAUUUUAAAGCCCCAGCCCUUUCUGAGGUAUACUGCCAUCCCCCAGGAUACGACCCACAUCAAUCUGCUAACACCCAGCGUCUACAUUCAACACUUUUCAAACUGUAUCUGGAGAGAAGAUAGAAAUUAAGAGUGAUGCGAGACUGACAGCAAGCAAGUGUGAAAAAUUUGUCAAGGUAAGGAGGUCCCUGGAUGCUAGUAAGGGAAGACACACCAGCAAUUCUUCAACAAUGUUUUGCCCACUAAAUGGGCCUGAUCAUCAAAAACAGAUAAACCUGGUCACCCUACCUCGGUGGGAGAUGGUUGGUGUGUAAAAAAAUCUGUAAAGGAUCAGCUCAUACACAAGCCUAUGUUAUGGCAUAGAUAAAUUAAGAAUUUCAGACUUUAAUGCAUAAAAUAAGGUGUAAAUCACAAGAGUACAUUAUCAAAAGUAAAUAUUGUACUGUACACAGCAUUUGUUUUUAUAAAAGUAAUUACCCAUGUAAAAAUUGUCUUCAUCAGGGUCAUUGAGAACCUCAACUAGCUUGACAACAUUGGGGUGAUUUAACUUCUUUAAGAUAGCUAUCUCCCUGUGCACACGAUCAAGGGGAUUUUCAAUAGGUCUUCCUCCAGAUGCUCUUGGUGGCGGCAGCCGACCCUUAAC